AGAGGGGACAUCAUUGGGUGGAGGGACUGGCGGCUAACUCAACAAAACAUAAAGACAACAUACAACAACACCAUCAUAGGGGACAUAAGGACAUCACCGCAACAUCUACACAGGCUAGAUCUAAAUUGACUUCUAAAACACUGGAUUAUUUUGCUUUGGACCAUUUUCUUUUUCGAUCAAACAGGAUUUUAUCAAGGAAACAGUUUUGGCCUAACCAGCAGGAUCAGCUGACACUGGAGGAUUCCUCCCUGGCCAUGGCCAUGUGGAGGGAACACUGUCUGUCUGAUGGUGUUAUUCAGAUCCUCUACUGGGUGUGUGUGCACCUGGAGGAUCCCUCUCCCUCCCAUAGGGGAGAUGAGCUCAGCCAGGGGAGGAGAUGCAAGCCCUGUGUCUAUGUGCCAUGAAAUAUCAUGAGAGGAGAUAGUAUUAGUUGACUUAUUUGCUCUGACAGAGAGAUUACAAACGUUAUGGCAUAAUUCAUAAUAAUGAACAUGAUGAGGGGAUGUGAUAUGAAGGAUAUAGUAUGUCACAGAGAAAGUGGAUAUGGUAAUAGGAGAGGAGAGGUUGCAAGGAAGGUGGGGAAAGGUUAAAGUGGUAUCUGAACUUGUAUAAGAGUGUAUUUAUACUGUAAUGUGAAGUGUUUGGUCCUGCUGGUAAUGUUCACAUUGCAAUGCCAAUGAACCUUGCUUAUGUUUAGUAAGGCAGAGGUCAUUUGUGCAAUAAUAUGCUAGAAAUAUGUGAAAACAAGAGAGAAACAAGAGGAUAAUUAGGCUGGAAAGAGCACCAAUAUUUUCACCCAUUACGAGCAUCAUUUUUUAUUCUAGGAUGGCAGGCUCCGAGUGCUGCUUUAAUGUCCACAAUGAACAAUGGGACAGACACUUCUGAGUGGAUGAGAAGGGCUUUUAUGAGGAAAAAAGUAGAGCAGUGGAACCCUGAGGCUGAGAGAGAGAGGCAGAGAGAGGUAGAGAGUAGCGAAGAGUGGGACCAUUUGUGGUGCUUUGCCAUUGUUUAACACACGAAAGGACACACUCAGAGUGAAGAACCAUACUGUAUACUGUACAGUCCCUCACAGAACCCACAUUCAAGUUUCAAAGUACUUUGCACUCAUUGUGCAGCUGGUUCCACUUUAUAUGUCCUCCUUGGGAUAUUGCAACAGAGAAAGUAAUGGCCUAUUCUCCCCAGCCACACCCAAAACAAUUGAAGGCUUCAACAGACAAAAGAUGACUUGCUCUUUGUUCUCAUCUCAUCCACUUUUAUUCACAGGGAACAAGGGUGCAGUAGGAUAGGACCUCCAAAUCCUUAACUAUCUCAUUUAUGUUUUCUUAGGUUCAACGUGUUGGCACCAACAGUGUUCAUCCUGUCAUGGACCUCGUCAUGAGAGCUCUUAGGCCAGAAUAUGCAACAACAAAGUAAUAUAUCCACUGGCCUGUAACAAGAUUCCCUAGUGAUAGCUGUUUCUCCUGGUUUGGCCUCUUUUCAAUAAGGUAAAAUAGCACCUAUUGGUACAGUCUGUUUCUCUCAGAUGAACCGAGUACAGAUGACGCUCUGGUCCCGCCAUGUUUUAAAAACAUAUGUAGCCCAUAGCAACAGCUAUACUGUUAUGUAAGACUUUUCUUUUAUUCUUGACAUUUUAUUAUUAUUCUGGGCAUGGUAAAUACUUAUAAAUGAAAGCCAGCUUAAGGCAUGAGUGGUAUCUCCUUCAAAAGUUAUAUUUUUCUCAGGACUUGAAAAGUUGAUGGUGCCAAGUUCCAACUGAGAUUUCUACAGUCCUUUUCAAAGACUACCAGCUGGACCAUACUGUAUAUCUAUGACCUCUGUUGACUUAACUAUUGACCUUUGACCCAGGGAAGCAAUGAUAGUUCCCUGUGAUGUUGAGAGUAUUUCAAGAUUUCUGUACAGUCUAUUGCUGUGCAUGGAAAUAUAUGUCAUCAAAAUAAGUUUAGUCAAUGAAACAUGAUGUAAUGGGGAGGUCACUUUGACACAUCAGAUCACUGCAUCUUAGAAGUCACUCUAUAUCUUGGCUUUGGUGUCUAUAACAAGGCCAACCCAUGAGACGUGCCAUCAGAGACUAGACCUACUAGUAUCCCUGGGCCCUACUAUAUCAGUACAGCACUAAAACAACCAUGUUAAUGACUUGGAGGAAGAGCUUUGAAUGGGAGUGUGAUGCCAGUUUGGCAAAAUCCAUAAUGAUUCCUGAUGACAAAUUGACAUGGGGAUGGAUGGAAGCUCUGGGUCCAGCAUUUCAGCAAGGGUCAAUGACACAGUGAACUGAUUCAAAUUCAGUAUUCAAGAACAACUGUAUGAUAAUAGAGCAUUCACAAAUAGGUCUCAAGACAAGGAUUUACUUCCAAAAAAUGAAAAGUAGGAAAUCCAAACAUGUUAAUCUAUGUGUCGAUGUCUGGUAAAUGUGUAUGUUGUGAUAGUGAAGGAAAUGUUGUGUAUGUCAAUUUGAAUAUAUACACGUGCAUUAGUAUUAGAAGAAUGAUCAUGCUUGGGCUGGUGUGCUAACUGAACACUAAUGUGGGCUUAGCUGGGAGGGAUGGCUAAUGAUCUGAAAAUAACUGUGUCCAUAUCAGUCAAACCUUUUUCAUGACUCCCUCCAUUACUCUUGGCAUUAGUCUGGUGCACAGAUCCACCCUCUAUCUCUUUGCACCAAGGCUUCCCUGCUCUGCCCUGCUGGUAGUCCUGCCUACACAAUGAGACACACACAACACCAGCCUGACUCUAUGUACAGCCAGAGGUCCUGAGGUCACAAACAUUCACAACCUUUGUCUACUUGAACACCACCUGGGACAAGGGCUGUCAUUGGCUGACACUGGCAGUUUGCCUCGACACAUGGAAGUGGUACACGUCUGUCUGGCAGGAAAAGAGGCUUCUAUGAUUUACAGCCUAUCUUAGACUGCACAAUACAAAGCUAAGACUUGACAUCGACACAGAUGCUUUCAGAUAUUCAAAGCCUGGGGAAUACAUGUAUUACCCUUGCAUUAAACUGAAUCCAUAGCUCUCAUUGAAAAGUAAUCAAUGUCUUUCCCAUUGGAGAAAAUUGUAUGAUUAGCAUUACUGAUGAAAAACUGUUGUGAACAUUUCUUUUUUGUUUUGUGUCCUGUGCCUCUGUCUUUAAAUGUCUUGGAUUAAAAUAUUAUUGGCACAGUCAGCAUCUGAAAAAUGACCGAACUGCAACAAAUGUCUCUUUGUUCUCUCGCUAAUCCUUCUGGAGUCUGAAGUCUGUGUGUUUUAAAACGUUAUUUCUCUUUGGUCAUGUUCUAUGUUUGUUCUACGUGUUCUAUUACACUGUAUGUUCCACUAAAUGCAGACAGAACCCUCGGCAGAGAGGUGCUGUAAUUAAAAGUGCUUGAUCGUG